rnacentral:lncRNA from 1 species
UUUUGUGGUGUGUAUGGUGUUUUGUUUUUUUUUGUGUGUGUGUGUGUUUUGUAUAAUGAACUCAAGAGAAAAAUUGCAGUAUGUUAGUUUUCUGAUUUCUUAGAGCUUGUAAAAGAGGUCUUGGA